AACGAACGCUGGCGGCAGGCUUAACACAUGCAAGUCGAACGGUUGCAGCAAUGCAGCAGUGGCAGACGGGUGAGUAACACGUGGGAACCUUCCUAGGGGUACGGAACAACCCAGGGAAACUUGAGCUAAUACCGUAUACGUCCGUGAGGAGAAAGAUUUAUCGCCCUUAGACGGGCCCGCGUCGGAUUAGCUAGUUGGUGGGGUAACGGCCUACCAAGGCGACGAUCCGUAGCUGAUCUUAGAGGAUGAUCAGCCACACUGGGACUGAGACACGGCCCAGACUCCUACGGGAGGCAGCAGUGGGGAAUCUUGGACAAUGGGCGCAAGCCUGAUCCAGCCAUGCCGCGUGAGUGAAGAAGGUCUUCGGGUUGUAAAGCUCUUUUAGGUGUGACGAUGAUGACGGUAACACCAGAAAAAGCUCCGGCUAACUUCGUGCCAGCAGCCGCCGUAAUAC
rnacentral:rRNA from 1 species